CCCUGAUGAAUCCUUGCUUGUGAUUGGUCAGAAGGAGUAGUUCCAGCUCGUUCACAACAAUGCCCUCGUUUCUAAUACGUUACUGUUUCCAUAGCAACAGCUAACACCGGGACUUGUAUGGUAUAUGGUGGGUGGCAGACUAAAACCCUGAAUUGUUAAGAAGUUGAACGUUAUCGUAAACGUUAACGGCGUUUACGGUAUGGAAGGAGUCUCCAGUGUCAGUGCUCUGUAAUAGCAAGAGCUCUGCGAUGGAGGCUGAGAUGCGGAUGUCGUGGCCCAGCAGGUAUAAAGUGGUGAUGAGGUCACUCCACUGCACCAGUUCUCCCAGUGGACCCCCGCUGAACGCAUUCUCAGCUAUCUUGAAGCCAGACUCCUUCGUCAGCAGGCCCAGAUGCACAAGGAUCUAACACACACACACACACACACACAUAACGUCCUUAUUAGUGUAAAUCCUUGCACAUGCACACAGGUCCAGCUGUGCGUCACUAUUCCGGCAGUCUGGAACGGUUCUGCGAUCUAUCAUAUACAUCACAGUGUUUGUUAAUGAAUGAAUGAAUGAAUUAGCUGUAGCACCAGCUAUGAGAAGCGUUCCGUCUGCAGGGCAAAUCACAGGUUUCGAAUCGCUCGUUCUGAUACGAGUGUGUUUCUAUAUAAACGAGGCUCAUUUGUUUUGACUGGCUCGAGUGUAUAUUCCAUCCUCCAGCUCUUACUUCCUGUGUGUGUUUGGUUCUGCGCGACCUUUCGACGGUCUGCUGUUGCGUCUGUCCUUCUCCUUGAUUCGCUCUCCUAAUUCUUAGUUCUUCGUCGUUUGUCUGUCAUUCGGUGGCGUUUGUUUUGUCUGUACGGUUAAUCUCCUGCUCUCUGUAACGCGUAUCUGUUAUUCUAAGUGUAAUAAGUGUGGCAGGCUGUGAAGGAAAACCCUUCGCAUUAUUAAAGAAAAAAAAAGGGGGGUGGGGCGGGGCGGAGAGAUCUCAUUACGUACAAUUCUGCCCAAUUUGAACGGCGUAUAAGUAUAUAAUGAUCAAAUGAACAAUGCCCGCUUUGAUAUUAGUUUCAUCACCCGAGGUAAAAGACGCUAAACGCGAGCCUCACGUCCUCCCUUCGCUCGUUCGGGAAAUAAUCCCCGACUGGUUUAACCGGAUGUAAACAUUUCAAAACGUCGCUGUCGGUCCGGAGUGCGUCUCCGUGAUCAUCUCUGGUGAUGACGUGGGGUGUAAAAAACCACCGCAGUGCUUCACAGCUGGUAUCCGAACCCAUUAGACUUCCAUGCGUUUCUCUACGGCAUGCGGCUCACCAAAAGCAUACUCAAAUCAUGACGAAAUCACGCGGAGCUAGAAAGGUGAAAGGAAAUUCUCUAAUAUCAUGAACUGCUAUUAAGACACCUUAGAUACGGGGAACACUCUCGUCACUCUCGUUAUAGCUUCUGUUUGUGUGUUUCUGUGCUGUCAAAUACCUACGAUGAACGGAUUCAUUUCAUUACCCCUUUUAAUAAGCUGAUCGACUGCCGUCCUUUAUUAUAGCCGACACGUGUGUUUUCUGUGCCUUGGAAAGCCUUAUUUUUGUGGUGUGACUGUGCGCUGUGUGCACCUGCACGGGUAGAGACCCGCCCACGCAACGCUGUUAUCAGUGUGUAUAAAUACUCCCGUUCUAGACGAAGUAAACGGGACGUCUCUGUGAACAGCAGGGCGUGUUCAUGUUAGACCCGCCAGGCCUGAACGCUCUGGGGUAAACCACGCUUUCUCGCUCAUAGCACAGAACGAAGAGUUAAUAGAAGAAAAAGGCUGAAAAGGCAUGACUGAAGGACAGAAUCUGAGAUUCCUUUAUCUCUAACAAAAGGGGUUUUACACGUCUGUAGGCGUAGAUUUAUUUAUUCGAUUUUAUUUUUUAAGCUGAGACGCUUGUUAAGCGAGCUUAUUUUUGAGACACUGGACGUUUGAUCUCUGUGAGCUGAGAUUAAAUCAUAAAAAGGCUCGAAAUAUUUCACGUUAUGUGUAACGAAUCGAGAAUGUAUAUAUAUAUAUAAAAAAAAAAAAAAAAAGUUCCACGUUUUGAAUUAAAUGACAGAAAAUUUUUUUACUUUUCCACGAUAUAAACAUUUUUGAAAUGCAUAUAUUAUAUAUAUUAUAUAUAUAUGUUUCAGAUUCUUCUUUAGGUCUUUGAUGAAUGUUCUCUGGUUGUUGUUUUCAUUCACUCUUCAUCUGUCUUUCAUCGCUCCUUUCAUUCAACGUUUUGUGCAGUUCUCAGCUGCUUCACUUCUUUCUCCUGCUCAUAACCGCCUUCAUCUUUUUUUUUUUUUUUUGUCUGUGUGUGUUUGCUGUUUCCUAAAUCUUCCUGCUAACCGAAUAAAGUUAAAAUAGAAAAUACUGCACCCGAUUACAUAACGGUUCGUGAUGGGAAUUUAGUGUGUGUGUGUGUGUGUGUGUGUGUGUGUGUGUGUGUAUCCGAGCUUGGUGCUGACGGCUAAGAUGCUGCACCACACAUGCAUCAUUUUCAGCGAGAGCCAUGGAUAUUGGAUUGAGAUCAGGUGUCCUUUCGGCGAGGGAUUUAGACGGAGAGGAUGAAGUGUGACGGGUCGGGCCGAGCGAAAAUCAUAUUGCUGCAAUUAACUUUGCGGUCGCGUCGGGUUGUGAUGGCUUCCGGAAGGUUCUACGGAGAAAACCUGCGGUUUGGAGUCACGGUGAAAUCAGUCCAUCGGAGAGUCGUGCUCGUCACUUUCAAAAAAUGUUGUUGUUUUUUUUUGACACACACUUUAUUUAAUUUAGCGCUCAAUUAUUCAAAAUGACCCUUCCAAAUCAGUGUCUCCUCCGUGUGUGUGUGUGUGUGUGUGUUUGGGUGGUUGCCACGGUGGUUGGCUGCAGGUGAAAGAGAAGAGUCUCGUCGCACAUGCUCUCGAGGGAAAAAGAGUGUUCAGGAUGGCACGCGCGCGCGUGUGUGUGUUCGUCUCUCGGCACGACACGUGUGUGAAUUAUUCAGCAGAGCGUGUAUUAUUUAAAACCGGCAGGUACACGCCACGACGGCGUUCCCGCGCUCCUUCCCGAACGACACGCUUAACGACGCGCCGAUACGCAGCUCCCGAAAACAAACACCGUACGGCUACGGAAUCAGGAUGAGACACUGAUGCACUGUUUCUACUGAAGACGAGGUGUUCAGGGAAUUGUUUGUCCCUUGAGGAGGAGAGGAAAACAGAAGAGAGGAGAAGACGAGGAACGAGAACUGGAGAGGAAAGACAGGGUAUAUUUAAAAAUAAAUAAAUAAAUAAAUAAAUAAAAAGGGAAAUGAAAGAUAUGGGAGGGGCAAGGAAAUAGGAAAAGAGAGGAAAUAAGGAGGCAGAAAACUAGAGGAAGGGAAUAACCGAGAAAAUAGAAAGGAGAGGACAAGAGGGAGGAGAGAAAUGGAAGACGAUAAAAAGGAGGAAAGAGUGAGAGAAGGAGAUAACACAGGAGGUAUGAAACGAGUAGAGAAGCAAAGAAACGACGAGAGAAAACAGGAAGAAAAUAAAAUAGACGAGAAGAAACAACAGGAAAGGAAAGGAAAGUGCGAUGAGACAGGAAGUGACAAGUGACAGGAGAAGGAAAAAAAAAAGGAGACGGGAUAAACAGACACGUCACAUCUCCUAUUCUUAAAAGGCGAGAAGAUAUGGGACGGGGUGAGGUGAGACGAGCAGGUGUGAUGAGACGGGAAGGGACCGAUCAAGCGUAGGAGAGAAGAAGGAGAGAAAGAGCGACGCAGGAAAAAGACGUAAGGAGAAGUGCACCUUCU